rnacentral:lncRNA from 1 species
AUGCCAAAAGGGGGAGGGAGGAGGGCAGCGGGAACGGUGCUCCGGAGCGGCCAGAAGCCCCGGCCAAUGUCAGCGGAGGCUGGAGCGGUGGGCAGGAUUUGGGGUUGUGCCGGGCAGCGGGGCCCCCACCAAGGGGGAUCUCCACCCGGCCUUUCCCACGGCCUGCUUCCCACUCCCCCGCAGCCACCUGCUCUGUCCUUGGGGGAACGCUUCUGCCCGCCCCCCACCCCCCUCCCAAAUCAGGCGCACUGGCCGCGGGGUCCCGGGGCUUGGCCCACAGGUCCCUGUUACUGGGGGCUCCCUCUUAACCAGUCCAUUGAUGACUUAAACAAAUGGGCCCUGUUCCUGGUUUCUCCUUUUAUACUUGAAGCAGAGCACAUCGCCUUUGUGACAGAGAGCAUUUGGGUGCAAGGUGAGAAUUUACAGAGACCAGCAUCCUCUUCGGAAACUAUUGUGAAGUGGUCUGACUGCUGUUUGCCGUUAGCUUGCCGACCUGGGGAUCCUUAUCAAUUAAUCGCCAAAGCAAGUGUGGAUGACUUCAGCAAGCUAGGGGUGGCAUUCCUGGAAGAUAGACUCCAGAUGGCUAAUGGACUGAUACCUCAGAAGAUCGUGUCUGUCCACUUGCAGGACUCUGCCCUAAAGGAACUUAAGGGUCAGGCCUCAGAUCCCCCAGCCCAGCUCCUGCAGCCCGACCCCGAAUCUUAUAUUCAGAGGAACCCUCCUGAGCCCGACACUAUGGAGGACCCCCAGUCUCCGGGUUCUGCAUCCACUCGGGGGCCAGGUGGGGCCCCUAGGGGCGGUGAGCCAGCCGUGGACGGUGACAGAGGCGUGGGCUCUGUCGAGCACUGUCCCCUCCAUCUGUCCAGCUGCCACGAGUGUUUGGAGCUUGAGAACAGCACCAUUGAAUCCGUCAGGUUUGCCUCUGCAGAGAACAUUCCAGAUCUCCCGUACGACUACAGCGGCAGUUUGGAGGGCCUCGCUGACGACCUCCCCACCGAGAGGGAUGGGAGGAGGGUCAACGUCACGGGCAAGGCCCCCAACAUCCUCCUGUAUGUGGGCUCUGGCUCCCAGGAUGGCCAGGACAGGCUCCAGCAGGUCCGAUCGGCGCUGGCUGACUGUGUGGACACGGACUGUUACACUCUGUACCACCUGCCUCCGGAAAGCGCUCUCAGGGACCCGUGGCCGGACAACUGUCUGCUGCUGGUCAUCGCCACCGGGGAGCCCGUCCCCGAGGACCUGUCCCGGAGGUUCACGGCCUAUCUUUCUCAGGGAGGGAAGGUGCUGGCCCUGGCUUCGUCCUUCACGCUGCCUGGCUUCCAGGUGACCAGCAAGGCUCCGCUGCAGGACACGGUCCAGAGCUUGGUUUUCUGCAAGGUGGAUGGGAGCCUGGUGAGGCUUAGCAUCCUGAGCAGUGGCUACGUUUACGAGGAGGGGCCUGGGGAGCCGCUCGGCCCCAGCAAGCUCCACGGCCACCUGGACAGUGAGGACGGGGACAGGCUGGUGGUGCAAGUGCCUUUCGGGACUCAUGGAGGAGAAGCUGUUCUCUGCCAGGUGCACUUGGAACUACCUCCCAGCUCUCCAGCAGUGCAAACGCAAGAGGAUUUUAACCUGCUCAAAUCAAGCAACUUUAGAAGAUAUGAAGUCCUUACGGAGAUCCUGACGACACUGGGCCUAAGCUGCGACAGAAAGCAAGCUCCUGCCUUAACGCCUCUUUACCUGCUGUCGGCCACGGAGGAAAUCCGGGAUCCUCUUAUGCAGUGGCUGCGGAAACAUGUGGAUCCUGAAGGAGUAAUAAGAUCCAGCAAGCUCUCCCUGAAAUUCAUUUCAUCCUACACGUCUGAAAUAGAAAUCACCCCAUCCACCAUACCCGUGGUGACUGACACGGAGUCCUUCUCAUCAGAAAACUUUGACUUCGAGAUCUACCGACAAAACCUGAAGACAAGGAAACUUGGAAAAGUCAUUCUGUUUGCCGAAGUGACGCCCACCACAAUGAGUCUUCUGGACGGGUUGAUGUUUGAGAUGCCGCAGGAAAUGGGUUUAAUAGCCAUCGCAGUCCGCCAGACGCAGGGCAAAGGGCGGGGAAAGAAUGCUUGGCUGAGCCCCUUGGGAUGUGCCCUUUCCACCCUGCUGGUCUGCAUCCCGCUGAGAUCCCCGCUGGGACAGAGGAUUCCGUUUGUCCAGCAUCUGAUGUCCCUGGCCGUCGUAGAGGCAGUAAGAUCCAUCCCCGGGUACCAGGAUAUCAAUUUGCGAGUGAAGUGGCCCAAUGAUAUUUAUUACAGUGACCUCAUGAAGCUUGGUGGAGUUUUGGUUAACUCCACACUUAUGGGAGAAACAUUUUAUAUACUUAUUGGCUGUGGAUUUAACGUGACGAACAGCAACCCCACCAUAUGCAUCAAUGAUCUCAUCACAGAAUACAAUAAGGAACACGGGGCAGAGCUACAGCCCUUGAGAGCUGACUGUCUCAUCGCCCGAACGGCGACCGUGCUGGAGAAGCUGAUCGACACGUUUCAGGACCAGGGGCCCAACGGCGUUCUUCCCCUCUACUAUAAAUACUGGGUACACAGUGCUCAGCAAGUCCACCUGGGAAGCGCUGAGGGACCAAAGGUGUGGAUAGUUGGCCUGGAUGACUCCGGGUUCCUUCUGGUCCACCAGGAAAACGGCGAUGUGGUCACGGUGCAUCCUGACGGCAACUCCUUCGACAUGCUGAGAAACCUCAUUGUCCCCAAACAGCAGUAGUCCCCGCUGGGGACUGACAGACACAGACUGAAGGGCAGAACUGAGGCGGGAGGCUUCCCCUUGGAUUUCUGCCGCCUUUCCUAGCCCGUGGAGCAGAAAAACUAAAUCAGAGUUGUUGACGAUUUUUUUUUUCUCCCUCCAAUUAACCUGUUCAUUCUUAAAUUUUGUUCGGGGUAGAGGGUCGAUUGCUAGAAAGAUUUAGUUCAGGUAAAGACCUGCCAUAGAUGUGAGAUUUGUUCUCCCUUCUUGAAAUUGGAUGUGUGUUAAUUGGCCAAAAAAAAUAGUUUUAACAUGGAAACAGCAAUGGACUAAUUCACAUUUUCCCAGUAGUGGAGAUCUUUGCGCGUGCUCAGUCAUGUCUGACUCUUUGCAACCCCAUGGACAGUAGCUCACCAGGCUCCUCUGCCCGUGGGAUUCUCCAGGCAAGGAUAUUGGAGUGGGUUGCCGUGCCCUCCUCCAGGGGAUCUUCCUGGCCCAGGGAUUGCCUCUCUUGUAUCUCCUGCGGUGGCAGGUGGAUUCUUUACCACUAGCCACCUGGAAAGCCCAGUAAAGAUCUUUAUCCCUAGACUAUUAAAAACAUUUUUUAAAAAAGCUUUCAGGCCCUGGUCAUUGGUGAGUUAGGAGUAUGGUGACACUGUUUACAGGAAUCCAGGGAGGUGUUUUCCUAUAGGAACAUACACUGGUACUUAGUCAUCAUUUUUUGUUUGUUGUUUGUUCAGUGAAGAAAAGAGAAGGAAGAUUUCUAAGCCUUAUUCUCAGCCUGGUGGUUUGUGGUCCAAUAGCAAUGUCUACAUGCUACAGAGGCACCCCUAGCUACUUUGGCUGUAAUGACCUUGUAGAAGGAAUCAGUUAAUUACUUUGACAUUAAUUAGUGAGCUUUCCUCAGUUUAAAUUGACUGAAUAUUCUGCCGUGAUGGGAUCAAGUUCAAGAUCCUUAAAGCAUUGAUUAGGUACUGGCUUGGAUGUGAGGGUGGGUGAUUUGGCUCCAACAGCUGGAGAUGAAGUCUCCCUCUCAUACCACACGCAAAGGAGGAUUUGGAGCUUUAAGCUAGCUUCGGGCUUGCUUUGAAAUAUAGAGCAUUCCUGCAGGACUAUAUAGACGCACACAGUAUAGAUGUACAUGGCAUUUUAUUGCUAAGUCACAGUUUUUUGCCCCCUUUUCACAUUGCCAAAAAGAGUAAUUGCUAUUGCAUGCUAUCAGUUAAGAGCGUGUGUGUGUGUGAAGUCUUAAAAGAUGUUCAAAAUCUAAUGCCCUAUGAGUCUCCAUGAAAGAACAAAAGAAAGGAAGCCUUUUGAUAUGCAUUUGCUCUUUCCAGAUGUAUUCCAUGCUUUUUCCAUGUAAGUCCUAUCUCCACUGAACUUGAGACUCAUAACACAUUACUUUUCAGCCUGAAGAGGCCACUUUUUGUCCGCUUUUCUCUCUUCCUGCCAAUCCCAACUGGAAUUAGUGAAAAGAAAAGUUGAUGAGGCUCUCAGCUUUGAACAGAACCCCCUUAUUGUGGCCUAGCACUGUCCUUCUCCAGCUUUAACUGGCCAAGCUAACUCCAGAAAGCUGUGGUUUUCGGUAUAAAAAUCUGUCUACCUUUAGUCAGGCACAGGCAACCCCAUAGAAGGAAAAAAAUAACAUGUUUAGUCAAGUACAUUAACCCAAUAUGUAUGUUUUGGAAAUGUAACUUGAAAAGAUUUCAGAAGUCAUACUUUGCAAAUAAGGCUUCAACUAGAAUUAUUUUUCUUAACAAAACAAAACACUCUCUCCUAAAAUGCCCAAGUCUAAAUAAAAGUUUGAAGUCCACAGCA